CUUUGGUAAUUUGUGAAAAGAACAACCAAUGAGAGAAGAGCAGUUUGACUGGCCACAUAGCCAAUGAAAUUAGCCAAUGGGAAAGAGAUAUAGAGACCUCGUAAGAACCGCCUCCUUUGCCAUUUGUAUCAUCUCUCUAUAAAACCACUCAACCAUCAACCUCUCUUUGCAUGCAACAAAUCACUCAAAUAAUUAUUUUAUAAAGACCAAAAAAAAAAGACGGCAGAGAAACAAUGGAACGUGGAGCUCCCUUCUAUCACCAUCAGCUACCCAAAUCCAUCUCUGAAACGCGAUGGAGAAAACGAUUUCUUCUCCUCCGCCGAUCUCCUGCCUCCGCUCCCUCCGUUUCUUCUCUGGCUUCAUCUCUUCGAUUCUAUUUCACCUCUCCGUUUCUUCUCCGGCUUCAUCUCCUCGAUUCUAUUUCACAUUUCCUCGGGCGAUUUUCGAUUUCUCCUCACCUCCAUGGUCUAACGAGCUUGGAUUUGUGCUUCUCUCCUCUCCUCCGCUCCUCCUGCUGUUAAGGCCAGUAAUAAGCCUUUGAAAGGUAAGAGGGAGCCUGAAGAUGAUGUUGAUACUAAAGUGAGUCUUAAGAAGCAGAAGGAAGACGUGAUUGCUGCUGUACAAAAGUAAAAAGCUGUGAAGAAGGUGACUAAGAAGGUUGAGAGCUCUGAUUCAUCAGAUUCUGAAUCUGAGGAAGAUGAGAAGGCUAAGAAAGUUCCAGCCAAGAAGGCUGCAACCAAGAAGCAUGCUGCGGCUGCUUCUAAAAAGGCCAAGGUCUGAGAGUUCGUCUGAAGAUGAUUCAUCCUCUGAUGAGGACUCAGAUGAUGAUUCUGAGGAUGAGAAGGCUGCUGCUACCAAGGCUGCAAGCAGUUCAGAUUCAUUUGAUGAAGAUUCUGAUGAGGAAAGUGAAGAUACUACUGAAUGUCUUCAUGGUGCAAUUGCUGUGAAGAAGAUGCGUAGGUGAAAGGUACACUCCUAAAUUGCUUUAAUUGUUAAUAGAGAUUAGAUAGAUGUGGUUGAGAAUGUAGUUGUCUUUAAAUGAAUCAAUGAAUACAGAAAAAGUAGAUAGUGAAUUUAUUGUCAUCUCUUUAACAAUAGCUUCUCUGAAGUUUAAUGUAUUUGUGGCGUUGGUGAUGAGAUGGAGUGAAUUUAAACAGAAAAAAAAAAAAUUAAAUGCAACUGAACUUAAACUUAAAGUUCAAUAAAAUGGUGAUGAGACAUUAGCCAUCUAAAUUAAAGUUAUGUUGAUGGCUAGUGUCUCAGUGACUUGAAUUAGUAUUGUGUUUGUUAUUUAUUGAGGCUUUUCCUUUAUAAUGUCGACAAUGAGAACUAAACAAACCACUUAAACUCUUCUAAAACACAAAAUGGCUCCAACUUAAACUUUUCCGCCUCUCAAUCCUUUACCAAUCUCUUGUUUAGCCAAGAAGAUAAUCCAACGCCUCCCAGUCCUUCACAGCCUCCUUUUUCUGAAUCCCAAACACCCACAUCCUUAGCUAGGGCGUCUAGAGUGAGAUGGAGUGUUCCUGAAGAGAAGGCACUUGCAAGUGCCUGGCUCAACACAUCCAAAGACUCUGUUGUGGGGAAUGAGCAGAGAUCAGCUGCCUUUUGGGAUAGGGUUGCAGCAUAUUAUGCUGCAUGUCCUGCUGUCUCUAAGCUCACCAUCCGAGAGCCAAAUACUUGUAAGCAGAAAUGGCAAAAAAUGAAUGAGCUUGUCAUGAAGUUUGCAGGCUGUUAUGAGUUUGCCUCUCGGACUCCUCGCAGUGGAGAGAAUGAAGAUGACAUUAUCGUGCUGGCCUACAAGCUUUACCAUCAAGAUCAAAAAAACAAAUUCAGUCUUGAGCAUGUUUGGAGAAUCCUCAAGACUGAUCAGAAAUGGUGCAAUUGGUGUGAGACCAAACUUCCUGCCAAGAAGAAAGCUAAACUUUCAUCUGUAGAAGAAGAGACUCUUCAAAGGCCUAUAGGUGUGAAGGCAGCCAAGGCUUUAGCCAAGUCCAAAGGUAAGGGAAAGAUUGAAGGAGAAGCUGAAGCUAGUUCUGCUGCUGAACUUCAGCUUAUGUGGGAAGUGAAAGAGAAGGAUUUGGCUGCCAAAGAGAGACUUUCCAAGCAGAAGCUACUUGACAGCCUUCUUGGAAGGUCUGAUGGAUUGAGUGAGUUGGAAAUUCAACUUAAGAACUCUCUUAUCCAAGAGUAUCUGUCUGGAAGCAAGGUGUUUGUUUCUGAGAAUGAUUAUUCUGGUCUUUAGGACCUCCUCUUGGAAGCUAGUGAUGACUUUAUGCGGAUGUACUUUGUUUUUUGCUUUAUUCGGAUGUACCUGCCAAGAACAGAGCUACUAUUUGUUUGUUUUUAGUAGCACAUGGCAUAUGGUCUAUAUGUUUUUGUGGUCAGAAGCCACUUGUUUUUACUUUCUAUGGUAUUUGUCUUAGUAGCACAAUGUAUUGUGGAGAAACCACUUGUUGUUUUGUUUUAGUAGCACAAUGUAUUGUCGACAAUGUAUUAUUGGUACAAUUCUCUUAUAUAAAUGUCUUUGUCUUCUCA